rnacentral:tRNA from 1 species
GCUCACAUAGCUCAGUCGGUAGAGCACUUCCUUGGUAAGGAAGAGGUCACAGGUUCGAUUCCUGUUGUGAGCA